rfam:Homo sapiens chromosome 2, GRCh38 reference primary assembly.
CAUGCCACCCUGAAUGCACCUGAUCUCAUCUGAUCUUGGAAGUUAAGCAGGGUCGGGCCUGGUUAGUAUUGGAUAAGAGAAUAAUACAGGG